rnacentral:tRNA from 1 species
GUCGUUAGCUCAGUUGGGAGAGCAUCGCCCUUACAAGGCGAGGGUCACUGGUUCAAGUCCAGUACGAC